AUGACAAUUUAUCGUGCACUUGGACAUCUCCGAGAAGAGUACAGGGCCGAGCUCGACCCAUCAGACCUUGCCAUGAUUUCUCACAGAGCUAGGAAUGGAGAUAUCAUCCGUACCGUGGAGGAUGACUCCAUUCUUUCAUAUGUCCAAGACUUGGAGAGUCACAUCAGGAACCAGGAAAUCCAGACGUGUCGAAGCUCGAAGGUACAUAGGAGUCUGCUAUUCUAUGAACUGGAACUGGAGGAGAAGGCACGCGCGGACUUCCUUGAACAUGAAGAAGAAGUCAAGGAUUUUUAUGGAUAG
rnacentral:rRNA from 1 species